GUGCUACUCCCUCCGUUCGGAAUUACUUGUCUCGAAAAUGGAUAUAUCUAGAACUAAAAUACGUCUAGAUACAUCCAUUUCUACGACAAAUAAUUCCGAACGGAGGGAGUACUAU
rnacentral:pre_miRNA from 1 species